rnacentral:lncRNA from 1 species
UGUGACCAUUGCCCAGCAUGGAUUAAUAGCUCCAAAUACUUUAGCUUUGGAGGAAAACAUGAGUUCUCUCACACAACUCUAGGUCAGUUUGUAAUAUGAUGCCUUUCAUCCAAGGCUCUUAAAGACAAUUACGUACCACUCUGUGAGCCCUUGCUCCCCCUAGUGAGCAAUUGCCAACACAAAUCUCAUUAAAUCAACUUCGAAAGGAGUAUCUGUGUUAGUCUAGUUCAGCAAAACAAAUCUAGUUCAGCAAAACAAAUAAGGAGUCCUGUGGCACUUUUAAAGUCUAACAAAUGUAUUUAUCAUAUGACAAAGUGGUAUUUUUCUCCCACGAAAGCUCAUGCGAUAAAUAAAUUUGUUGGUCUUUAGAAGUGCCACAGGACCCCUUUAUUUGUUUUCAUUAAAUCAACAUCACUAUUCGUGUGAGUAGCUGUUCACCAGUGGGAGUGAGUUGUUCACAACCUGACCCUGUGAGAAUCUCAGUUCUCAGGAUGUACAAUGACAGUCUUGUGUUGCUUUGCACACUAAUAUAUUGCUUAUCCCCCAGGAAAUAUAUUACACUCAUACUUUAUUGCACUAAUGAUUGCUUUUUCCCCGCCCUACCAGGAAAUGCUGCUGGAGAAGGACAGGAAUUGUAUGACAAUUUUUUCUAUGGGAACUACACAUUUUACUUCUUUACUGAUAAUUACACAUUCGACUACCCAACAGAAUCAUCCACGGAUGGUUAUGAAUCCAGAACUCAGUUUGGAAAUGGUUUCCCAGAAUCUGGAGGAUCAUCAGUCCAAGGCCAUCUUCCCUUCUUCUUUGUCCUUCUCCAUCUUCUAUGUUUUUUGCUACAAAAAUUCACACUUCUUUUGUAGAAGAUUUGAACAGCUUUGCUUUGAACUAGAACAUUCCUCAAAGAGGAAAAAGAAAGAAAAGAACACUGCCACAUUUGUAAAUUACUUCCCCUACAGUAAUCUAUUUUUGUUAUCUAUUUUUAAGUGCGGUUUAUGUGCUGGUGAAGAAACAUAAAUAUAUAAAAUAGGGGUAACUGCUGUGUUUCCUCAUAAGCAGUAUAAAUUGCAUUAAUGUUGACUCACUCUUUGUAUGUUCUUUAUUUCUUCCUCUCACAUUUUCUGAUUAUCACU